rnacentral:rRNA from 1 species
UGGGUUUAGACCCACGGCGAACGGGUGAGUAAUACCUAGGAACGUAUCUUUAGUUGAGGAUAUCCCGCCGAAAGGCGGAGCAAUACUCAAUGUGGUCAGCCUCGGCUGACUAAAGUCGCAAGACGCUAAAGAAGCGGCCUGGGCACCAUCAGCUAGUUGGUAGGGUAAAGGCCUACCAAGGCUAUGACGGUUAGGGGCCCCGAGAGGGGAGACCCCCACACUGGGACUGCGACACGGCCCAG